UACAGAGGGUGCAAGCGUCGUUCGGAAUCACUGGGCGUAAAGGGCGUGUAGGCGGUGAGGUGUGUCCGAUGUGAAAGCCCCCGGCUCAACUGGGGAAAUGCAUUGGAAACUACCUCGCUCGAGUGCGGGAGAGGGUGGCGGAAUUUCCAGAGUAGAGGUGAAAUUCGUAGAUACUGGAAGGAACACCUGAGGCGAAGGCGGCCACCUGGUACGUAACUGACGCUGAUACGCGAAAGCGUGGGGAGCAAACAGG
rnacentral:rRNA from 1 species